AAGAGGGAGCUAUAGAGAGAGUCGAGAGGACGGGCUAGGGGAGACAGAGGCGGCGGCCGCGGCGGCGAGCUAAGGCCGGUGACGGCCGUACGAAGCGGCGGCAUGAACGGUGGAUGACGAGGGAGAGCUCGACUAGAUGGAAGAGGUGGGCGAGCUAAACGAAUAGGAGAGAGCGCGCGCGCUCAGGGGGAGAGGGAUGCGCUGAGGUACGGUGGCGGCGGCGGGUGCGGCCGCCCAAGGCCGCUAAAGGUGGCCCCGCGUCGUCCGAAGGCGCGAGGGGAGAGUGGCCAGGAAGUAGGUCAUACCGGUCUAGGCGGCCCGCACCGGGGAUGGGAGUGGGUGCCGAUCCCUAAACCGCCGAGGUUGCAGCCGGACCGAGUUCAGUGGGUAGUGCGCCUGCCCAGCUUCGCGACCUAGAGCCCUGUCCCGCCGCGCCUCCGGAAGGAGGGUAUCCUAAGGCUCGAGCUGCUCGGAUCGCCGACGGCAGGAACGGGGCGAGCUCCUCCUCCCCGCGUGGAUCGUCCGGUGGUUACCGGACAAGACGAGGAGCAGAAGGAGGUGACGGACCUGGUGGUGCGGAAGUUGUCGCCCGACGACGUCGUAGCUGGCCACUAGGAAGGAAGGAGGUCAGAAACGAACGUCAAUCGGAAAAUCCCGGUUAGUUUAGGUUACACGAUCAAAUCAAACGGUGUCAAACCACUGUGAGGGUAGACUUAUACAGGAACAUCGAACCUCACGAAACCCAAAGUCAAUUGAGCACGCAUGAACAUAUCUUGUCUUU
rnacentral:rRNA from 1 species